UACGGAGGGAGCUAGCGUUGUUCGGAAAUACUGGGCGUAAAGCGCACGUAGGCGGCGCAGCAAGUCAGGGGUGAAAUCCCGGGGCUCAACCCCGGAACUGCCUCUGAAACUGCAGUGCUAGAAUCUUGGAGAGGCGAGUGGAAUUCCGAGUGUAGAGGUGAAAUUCGUAGAUAUUCGGAAGAACACCAGUGGCGAAGGCGACACACUGGCUCACUACUGACGCUGAGGCGCGAAAGCGUGGGGAGCAAACAGG
rnacentral:rRNA from 1 species